rnacentral:rRNA from 1 species
UACGUAGGGUCCGAGCGUUGUCCGGAAUUAUUGGGCGUAAAGGGCUCGUAGGCGGUUCGUCACGUCGGGAGUGAAAACUCGGAGCUUAACUCCGAGCCUGCUUCCGAUACGGGCAGACUAGAGGUAGGCAGGGGAGAGCGGAACUCCUGGUGUAGCGGUGGAAUGCGCAGAUAUCAGGAAGAACACCGGUGGCGAAGGCGGCUCGCUGGGACGUUACUGACACUGAGGCGCGAAAGCGUGGGGAGCGAACAGG